rnacentral:rRNA from 1 species
AUGGAAGGGAUGGGGAAGAAGAGGCGCCCGCUGAUGGUGAUGGACUCCUCGUUGACCGCGGCGGCGCAGACGGCGUCGAGGGGUCCAGAGACCGGGGCGUGGGAGUGGAUGGCAAGGGAGCGCGCAGCCGUCGACCCCGUGCACUGUCUCCCUCUCUCCUCAACGACUCGCGGCGAAGAAGCCGCUGGAGGAGGAGCUCUACCUAGACGACGGUGGCCGGAGGACGUCACCAUGGGGAUUUGCUGCAAAGGGCCACCGGAGGAGGAGCCCAACUACAGGAGAAUGCGGUGCAGCAAGAGCCUCGCCAGCAUCGUCGGCAUCGAGCAGUCCUCUAAAGCUCGUCCUCACCACCACGGACGUCGGAACUGCUCCAAUGGAAAGGUUGGAUGCUCACAUGGAAGAAGUGAUCUGAUUUUGCUCUCUCUCAUCUCUCUUUGUAGAUUUUUGUUCAUGCUGGGAUGUGUUCAAGUGUUGAUUUUUGUUCAUGUGUGGAAGCUGGGCUGUGUCUAUAUGUACAUUUUUGUUCAUGCAAGAAUUUUUUUAUUUACACUCAUUAGAUUAUGUUAUUCUCAUGUGUAG